rnacentral:lncRNA from 1 species
UAAUUUUGAUAUGGCUCAGGAAAUUCUGAUAUUUCUGAAAGAAUGCCUUCUUGUGUAAUAAGAAUCUGUUUACCUCUAACAUCUUUUUUUCCCUCUUCUUUUAAACAUACAGAAUAUUCCUGUGACUCCAUCACUUACAGCUAAUCCUACCAUGGCUUUCAGUCCAUAUGUAUCUCAUACUGGGAUGAGCCUGGUUCCAGCUGAACUUGUACCAAAUACACCUGUUCUGAUUUCUGGAAAUCCACCUCUCCCACUGACAGGAAUUCCUGCUCCAAAGCUGAUGCGUUCAGAUAAACUGGAGGUGUGCCGUGAAUUUCAGCGUGGAAAUUGUACCCGUGGGGAGAACGAUUGCCGUUAUGCUCACCCUACAGAUGUUUCUAUGAUUGAAGCAAGUGAUAAUACUGUGACUAUCUGCAUGGAUUACAUCAAAGGCCGCUGUUCCAGGGAGAGAUGCAAGUAUUUUCAUCCUCCUGCACACUUGCAAGCCAAACUCAAGGCUGCACAUCACCAGGCGAACCAUUCUGGUGCCACCGCGAUGGCCCUACAGCCUGGUGCACUUCAACUGAUACCAAAGAGAUCGGCCCUUGAAAAGACCAACGGUGCCACCCCGGUCUUUAGUCCCACUGUUUUCCACUGCCAACAGGGCCUGGCUAACGUGCAGCUGCCGCAGCCAGCAUUUAUCCCUGCAGGGCCAAUACUGUGCAUGGCACCCGCAACAAGUUUUGUGCCUGUGAUGCACGGUGCUACACCUACCACUAUGUCUGCAGCAACAACACCUGCCACCAGCGUUCCCUUCGCUGCAACAACUACAGGCAAUCAGUCGAAGUAUUGA